UAGGGAAUCUUCCGCAAUGGACGCAAGUCUGACGGAGCAACGCCGCGUGAGUGAAGAAGGAUUUCGGUUCGUAAAACUCUGUUGUUAGAGAAGAACAGCGCAUAGAGUAACUGUGCGUGUGACGGUAUCUAACCAGAAAGCCACGGCUAACUACGUGCCAGCAGCCGCGGUAAUACGUAGGUGGCAAGCGUUGUCCGGAUUUAUUGGGCGUAAAGCGAGCGCAGGCGGUCAAUUAAGUCUGAUGUGAAAGCCCCCGGCUCAACCGGGGAGGGUCAUUGGAAACUGGUUGACUUGAGUGCAGAAGAGGAGAGUGGAAUUCCAUGUGUAGCGGUGAAAUGCGUAGAUAUAUGGAGGAACACCAGUGGCGAAGGCGACUCUCUGGUCUGUAACUGACGCUGAGGUUCGAAAGCGUGGGUAGCAAACAGG
rnacentral:rRNA from 1 species